CACGGGUGCGUAACGCGUAUACAACCUACCUUAAUCAGGGGGAUAGCCCGGAGAAAUCCGGAUUAACACCGCAUAAAAACACAGGAUAGCAUUAUCCAAUGUUCAAAUAUUUAUAGGAUUAAGAUGGGCAUGCGUGUCAUUAGCUAGUUGGCGGGGUAACGGCCCACCAAGGCGACGAUGACUAGGGGAUCUGAGAGGAUGGCCCCCCACACUGGUACUGAGACACGGACCAGACUCCUACGGGAGGCAGCAGUAAGGAAUAUUGGUCAAUGGGGGCAACCCUGAACCAGCCAUGCCGCGUGCAGGAAGACUGCCCUAUGGGUUGUAAACUGCUUUUAUCCGGGAAUAAACCUUUCUACGUGUAGGAAGCUGAAUGUACCGGAAGAAUAAGGAUCGGCUAACUCCGUGCCAGCAGCCGCGGUAAUACGGAGGAUCCAAGCGUUAUCCGGAUUUAUUGGGUUUAAAGGGUGCGUAGGCGGCCUGUUAAGUCAGGGGUGAAAGACGGUAGCUCAACUAUCGCAGUGCCCUUGAUACUGAUGGGCUUGAAUAAACUAGAGGUAGGCGGAAUGAGACAAGUAGCGGUGAAAUGCAUAGAUAUGUCUCAGAACACCGAUUGCGAAGGCAGCUUACUAUGGUUUAAUUGACGCUGAGGCACGAAAGCGUGGGGAUCAAACAGGAUUAGAUACCCUGGUAGUCCACGCCCUAAACGAUGAACACUCGCUGUUGGCGAUACACAGUCAGCGGCUAAGCGAAAGCGUUAAGUGUUCCACCUGGGGAGUACGCCCGCAAGGGUGAAACUCAAAGGAAUUGACGGGGGCCCGCACAAGCGGAGGA
rnacentral:rRNA from 1 species